UACGAAGGGGGCUAGCGUUGCUCGGAAUCACUGGGCGUAAAGGGUGCGUAGGCGGGUCUUUAAGUCAGGGGUGAAAUCCUGGAGCUCAACUCCAGAACUGCCUUUGAUACUGAGGAUCUUGAGUCCGGGAGAGGUGAGUGGAACUCCGAGUGUAGAGGUGAAAUUCGUAGAUAUUCGGAAGAACACCAGUGGCGAAGGCGGCUCACUGGCCCGGUACUGACGCUGAUGUGCGAAAGCGUGGGGAGCAAACAGG
rnacentral:rRNA from 1 species